rnacentral:lncRNA from 12 species
UAGGAUUUUAACAUCUCUGCUCCACUCAAACACCAGGUCACUUUGAUGUAGGUCAUGAGAUUCACUUCAGAUGUUUGCCAGACCGCAUUUAUAACCAUGAGAUCGCAUAAACAGCUGGACGUGUAUGUUUAAUUUAUAUCAGCCUGACAGGAAGCACACGGGACAAUUACUCCUGAUAACACACACACACAGAGCAUGGAUGGUUAGUAGGAUAAAUGAGCUGUCUGUGUGUGUCUUUUGUGGUGGAAAUAGUGAGGUAAAUUUCCCCCGUUUGAUUCAGGUUAAAGGAUACAGUCUCUGCUGCUAAGAUAAGAAUUGAAAUCCUGUUUUGCUUCAUAUCAACUCGCUAAACCAAAUGGGAACUCGCUGUGAUUUAUUACUGCAGUGUUUUUCAACCUUGACUCAUAAAGUGUUUGUCGCAGCCCGUCCCGUCUCAUUUCUUUUUAGCUUAGCAGGAAAACAUGCUAACAGUCCCAAAGCAAUGUUUCAAAGCAGCCUGAACUCCGUGUCUCCUGACAGUAAUUUUCUAAAAGUGGAAGCGGAUCUCCAUUCCCAGCCCUUCUCAGGAAAAAUCAUCAGUUGAGCCAGAGAUCAUGCUGCUGUCAGGAACCACGAGUCCUCCAGAUGAACCUGAGGUCAAACUGACACAAGAUCAGCAGAACAACCGGACAGCUCUAAUUCUACAGCCGAUAUCACACCGAUGCUGUCAGCGCAGCGACACGUUUAGGGGAAAUGACCGCGGCGAAGCUCUCUCGCUGGGAUUCUUCUCUUCCCCUGCCACAACAAUUGGUGUUUAGGAAGGUAUGCCUCUCAUUCUCAGGCCUGUUUAUUUUUACUCCUUCACCUCAGUAACAAUGCAAGUGUGCCGGUCAAGGUAACGCGAGCACACUUAAGAGGCAGCGAAGGAACUACAAUAAACAGAUGUGCUCUUUGAUGAUAAAAGGCCGAAGGAAGAGAGCGACAGAGACAAAGAAAGACAGGAAGAGGGAGAGCUGAUGAGCUGCGCACCGUUGGCCUGCUUUCAUCGUUUGUGUCUCUGUUUAUCCACUGUUUUCCAGUNUAUUAAUUUGUUAUAAAAUUAAUCAAUUUAAUUCGACUAACUAUACUUCAGAUAUAGUGAAUAAUUAUAUUAAUAUAGUGAAUAAUUAUAUUAAUUAUACAUAAAUAUACAAAUAAAAUACAAUGCAAACAUAUGUAUAUUUAUAUGUAAUUUUAUUUGGAAAGAUUUUAUAUGUAUAAUUUUUUUUUUUUUAAGAUUUUCAAGAUUUUGCCCCUUUAAAUAGCUUCAGUCUGGUAAUACUCUAGUCAUAAUGCUUUCUCUCGGUGCUCUCAGUCAUCUGAUAUUCGCUGUAGGAGGUUCAUCAGGUUCCUCUGAGGCUGUAGAGAUGAGAACAGCAGACAUGAAUAUUUGUUAUAGCCAUAAGUCACAAUCAUGACAGACAUUCACCAUCUCCCCAGCGUGAUACAGAGCGCUCGAGUUUACACACGGUGAAUAUGUGAGAGGUUAUAUUCUCCUGAAGUCUGUCACUUCCAAUCUCAUCUACAUCCGUGCUAUUUGAUGGCACGGCUAAAAAGUACAGUGGAAAUGUCUCCAUCUGCGCAUCAGGGAAACUGUAGAUCCAUUUCUGGCGUUAGACUGAGCUGUUCUUCAUGUAAUUCUCCCCAGAGAGGAUCGGGUUCUCCGUCUGUGCUCGGCAUGACGGUCAUCUUCAGGAGUGAACGUCUGAGAGGAACCAUUGAUUGUCCAGAUGACAGAUGUUGUGUGUCACACUAUUGAGCGGCCGGACUGAACUGCUUCCUGUUACAGCUGAGCGUGUGUGUGUUUGGAGUGGGACGAUUGAGCUGGGACAUCUGGGAACGCUGUCGAGAUGUAUCCUAUUCUUCUGUAAUGCAAUCCUCAUGUGUUUACUGAAAUGAACUACAGUUUACUGAUGUGUAGGGCUCAAAAAUAGAUAGACAAACACAGAUGAACACAACAUACUGAAAGAUCAGAACAACAAUGAAAAAAGUACAUACUGUUUAUUUUAUUUGUUUAAUUUUUAUAUUUUAUGAAUAUAUAUAUAUAUAUACACACACACACACACACAUACACACACACACACACACACACACAAACAUGUGUAAUAAACACUUGUCAACUAUAUAUUUCAGAUACACGUUAUCAUUUUCUAAUACAUUUAUAUACUAAUAUAAUAUUUUAUACAAUACUAAUAUAAUUUAAUAUAUACAUAUAAUAAAAUAAAUGCAACUAGUUUUAAC